GUACAAUUAAGUAAAAUGUAAGUUUUUGUGUUUGUUUUUUGCAGAUAUGAAAUGCAUAUUUAUAACUUGUCUAACAAGUAGCUCAUUCAAAGGUAUAAAAAAGUAUUUUUUGGCGUGUGUAGGGUAUUUUAACUAUGUAGCCUACAGAAUGCUUGUAUGGGCUCAUGUAGGUGUCUGCGUACGUUUGUAUUUAUAUAACAUAUGUCCGUGUGUAUAGAUUAUGUAUUUUUCAGGGAAGGACCAUAUUUGUGGCUGACCCCUAUGUUGUUGCAACAUGGUGAAAGCCUACAGGAUGUGACCCACACAUGCAUUUGCCUGUAAGGCUGAUUAGUAACAACUACAACUUGGAGCAUUGGUUCAUUUUCAAAGAACAGUCAAAUCAUAACAAAUUAAAUGAUCCAAAUUCCAAUUAUUUGUGGGAAGAAAAACAGAUCCAAUCAUGAGAUCAGGGAACUAUUGUUAUCUCUAAUGAAAUUCAGUAUCCAUUCAUAUUGGUAUGGCGUUUCCAUGAUGAUCCAGAAUAGCCUUGUUUGGUUUUGAAGGUAUGUUCCAGUCGAUCCUUUUAUGUUCAAUUCAAUUAAAGCAGAAUUGCACUCCAGAUGAUUCAUCCAAUCAUUUGAAGCAAAUUUCUAAAAUGCCACUCUAAAAUUGCGAAUGUUUUGUUUCAAGGGCGUUGGCCCGGUCUCAACAUUGGUAGGGACGAAUAUAAUGCAAGUAAGGUUGCUCAAAAGUUGGUGGGGACAACUUUAGCAUCCUGAAAAGUUGGUCGUGUUAUGUCCCUACCGUCCCUAUGCAAACCUACGCCCUUGUUUUGUUUGCAUGAAUCAUUUAAACCUGACUGGUUGGUGUUCUUAUGCAUGGAAACACGUUUGUAAUUGUUUAACUACUGUAUUUAAUAUGAACCUAUAUUUUCAAUUGCAGAAAACGUUGACAGUCAAUCAACAGGGGGACAUGGAAAGAGAGGAUUGGAAGUGAAAUAGAGGGUUUUCCAGGACAGCCAUAGGGGAAGGACUGUGGCAUCUUCUUGUUGAUGACUGAUAUGCCAACUCUGAGGAAGUGGUGGUGUAUAUUGCUAGCGGACAAUUUCAAACUUGGGUGCAUGGUAAGUCUUUGAAACUGUUGAUAUGGCAUUCAUAGGAAAGUAGGUGCACAGCACCUUAAUUCUUUGUUGGAAAAUGUGGAAUACUUAUUUUUGUAUUUUUUCAACUUAUGUGAGCCACAGGAAAGAGUUUGCCCAUUGGACAGAUGAGGCAAAAGCAUUACUGCAGGGUGAAGUGCCACCAGUCUAUCAGUUACAGAAGUGAAAUUUGAAUAUAAUUGCUGAGGAAGAGGUGCAACCACAGCUCCUUCAAGAUAGUGGUGGCCCACUCCAAAAAGAUAUGGCGGGAAAAAAUGUUUUGGUAAAAGGAUUGUGCAAGACAGCACAAAAGCCUCGGACAGGGCUAGGGGGAAAAAAAAUCAAUGCAGUAGGAGUUCCCAAGCAUCCUGCAGAUGGAAGAGGAUGAGCACGAACUACAAUGUCUUGGAGCCAUUCAAGUUCUGUUUCAACCAUCUGGAAGAUGGAUUUACCUUUUUUGAGGAGAUUGUUGACUAAAGAAAAUAUCUAUUCUCUCAAUAAUAAUAAAAAAUAAUAAAACUAAAAAAAUAAAGUUUACCACAUCAGAACUGGUUGUAUUGAGUUCAUUUUUCUACACUUAUAAAUGAGUUGUUUUUUUUCUUUUAUCCCAGAUGUUAGUUGUAGGUAGUUUUAAUUACCUGUGAUGAAGGCGGGAGUGCUUGCCGAAAAA